AAGUCGUAACAAGGUUUCCGUAGGUGAACCUGCGGAAGGAUCAUUAACACUUUUUCCAAAAACUCCUUGUUUUUCUUUUUCACGAAAGAAAACAGGGUUUUAACCCCAAUCUAUUGCGAACGAUGAUUUUCCAAAAUCAUUCUUCUCUUCUUUAUCCUCUUUUUUAUUUUUACCCCAAUUUACAACCAAACAAGCCUGAUAUAAAAUCGUUUCCUCUCUUUUUUAUCAAAAAGAGAAAAACGACCGAAACCUAAUGGUUAAAACAACUCUUAGCAACGGAUAUCUUGGCUCUC
rnacentral:misc_RNA from 1 species